UAAUUCUUUGCGAUAUCUUCUAACACUUUUAUUUAUUUAUUUAUUUAUUUAUUUAUUUAUUUAUUUUUGAGAGAGAGAGAGAGCUGCGAGAUGGGCAGAGGGAGAGGGAGAGAGACAGUCCCAAGCAGGUUCCACACCCAGCAUGGGGCCCAGUGCAGGGGCUCCAUCUGACGACCCUGAGAUCAUGGCUUGAGCUGAAAUCAAGAGUUGGACGCCUAACCGACUGAGCCACCGAGAUGAGAAAACUCAGAACAGUCAAGAUUAAGUGAUAACCCCCAACGCACGCGAGUAGCAAGUGACAAAGUGGAGCUCUGUACCACGGUCCCUCUGAUUCUCAGCCCUUGCCUUCUGUGCCUUUCCACGAGCCCUGAGGUGAAGAUGGGGAACAGAAGAUGCCAUUGUCCACGGAGAAGCCGAUGGAUGGCUGUGCAGAUGGAGUGAUGGAGCUCUCUCAAGUCAAGAGGAUAUUUUUCUUCCCGUCUUCCCUUUGAGCAGAUUAUACAAACAGGUGACCAAACCAAGGGCCUAACCAAAUUCAGCCCUCGGUUCUUUCCUACUUCUCUUUGUCUACCCUCUGUCAGGCCCUUGCAAUUUUUGUCAGUCUGUCUCUGUGACUUGAAUCAGCUCCUUUCCAGACUCCACUUGCAAAUCCCAGGGCACCUGUCACAUGGUCAUGGAGUGCUAAAGAGUGCAUGUAAAUAACACACCGGAAUCUGCAGCAGUUUUCGAUCCCCCCAAAGCCUCUAGAAAGAAAAAAAUUCCUUUUGACCAUGUACAUCUGGACCCCACGUGGGCCGAAGGAAUGAUGCCCAUAGUUCAGACCUAUCCGGUGUGAAAUGCAACUAAAGAAAUAAUGUAGCCCCGGGACUGAACUGGACUCAGUCCUUAGCUUGCCCCAGCUUAGCUUGAGUAAGGGGACCGGGCCCACAGCAGUGAUUGUUCCCCUUGGGGGUGGGGGUCAGUGCCACACCCUCCCCCUCCUAAGGGGAGAACGCCAAUACUCUUCAGCAUUG